rnacentral:rRNA from 1 species
CCUACGGGGGGCAGCAGUGAGGAAUAUUGGUCAAUGGACGAGAGUCUGAACCAGCCAAGUAGCGUGAAGGAUGACUGCCCUAUGGGUUGUAAACUUCUUUUAUAUGGGAAUAAAACGUUCCACGUGUGGGAUUUUGUAUGUACCAUAUGAAUAAGGAUCGGCUAACUCCGUGCCAGCAGCCGCGGUAAUGCGGAGGAUCCGAGCGUUAUCCGGAUUUAUUGGGUUUAAAGGGAGCGUAGGUGGAUUGUUAAGUCAGUUGUGAAAGUUUGCGGCUCAACCGUAAAAUUGCAGUUGAAACUGGCAGUCUUGAGGACAGUAGAGGUGGGCGGAAUUCGUGGUGUAGCGGUGAAAUGCUUAGAUAUCACGAAGAACUCCGAUUGCGAAGGCAGUUCACUGGACUGCAACUGACACUGAGGCUCGAAAGUGUGGGUAUCAAACAGGAUUAGAUACCCGAGUAGUC